UCCAAAGGAGUGCUUGUGGAGAUCGGA
rnacentral:piRNA from 1 species